GCCAGGCGUGGUGGCUCACGCCUGUAAUCCCAGCACUUUAGGAGGCUGAGGCAGGCGGAUCACCUGAGGUCGGGAGUUUGAGACCAGCCUGACCAACAUGGAGAAACCCUGUCUCUA
ensembl:misc_RNA Metazoa_SRP Metazoan signal recognition particle RNA